rnacentral:rRNA from 1 species
GGCAAAAUGGUACCGUAACUUCGGGAGAAGGUACGCUCUUGAUGGUGAAGUCCCUUGCGGAUGGAGCUGACGAGAGUCGCAGAUACCAGGUGGCUGCAACUGUUUAUUAAAAACACAGCACUGUGCAAAAUCGUAAGAUGACGUAUACGGUGUGACGCCUGCCCGGUGCCGGAAGGUUAAUUGAUGGGGUUAGCGCAAGCGAAGCUCUUGAUCGAAGCCCCGGUAAACGGCGGCCGUAACUAUAACGGUCCUAAGGUAGCGAAAUUCCUUGUCGGGUAAGUUCCGACCUGCACGAAUGGCGUAAUGAUGGCCACGCUGUCUCCACCCGAGACUCAGUGAAAUUGAAAUCGCUGUGAAGAUGCAGUGUACCCGCGGCUAGACGGAAAGACCCCGUGAACCUUUACUACAGCUUGGCACUGAACAUUGAACCUACAUGUGUAGGAUAGGUGGGAGGCUUUGAAGACGUGACGCCAGUUGCGUUGGAGCCGUCCUUGAAAUACCACCCUUGUAUGUUUGAUGUUCUAACGUUGGCCCCUAAUCGGGGUUGCGGACAGUGCCUGGUGGGUAGUUUGACUGGGGCGGUCUCCUCCCAAAGAGUAACGGAGGAGCACGAAGGUGGGCUAAUCACGGUUGGACAUCGUGAGGUUAGUGCAAUGGCAUAAGCCCGCUUAACUGCGAGAAUGACGGUUCGAGCAGGUGCGAAAGCAGGUCAUAGUGAUCCGGUGGUUCUGAAUGGAAGGGCCAUCGCUCAACGGAUAAAAGGUACUCCGGGGAUAACAGGCUGAUACCGCCCAAGAGUUCAUAUCGACGGCGGUGUUUGGCACCUCGAUGUCGGCUCAUCACAUCCUGGGGCUGAAGUCGGUCCCAAGGGUAUGGCUGUUCGCCAUUUAAAGUGGUACGCGAGCUGGGUUUAGAACGUCGUGAGACAGUUCGGUCCCUAUCUGCCGUGGGCGUUGGAAGAUUGAAGGGGGCUGCUCCUAGUACGAGAGGACCGGAGUGGACGAACCUCUGGUGUUCGGGUUGUGUCGCCAGACGCAUUGCCCGGUAGCUAAGUUCGGAAUCGAUAACCGCUGAAAGCAUCUAAGCGGGAAGCGAGCCCUGAGAUGAGUCUUCCCUGAUACUUUAAGUAUCCUGAAGGGUUGUUCGAGACUAGAACGUUGAUAGGCAGGGUGUGUAAGCGCUGUGAGGCGUUGAGCUAACCUGUACUAAUUGCCCGUGAGGCUUAACCAU